rnacentral:lncRNA from 1 species
GGAUGUCUGAGGAGAAAUAAAUGCGAUCUGUGCUCAGUGAGAGGCUCUGGCAGAGCUUCACACUAACGCCUUCUGUUAAUUUCAGGAUCCCCUCAAGAGAAAAAAGGCAUAUAAAAAGGAAGCUGAAAUUCCUCAAGGAUAACGUUCUACAUGCUAGCAGGGAGGCAUCCUUACCAUGGGAAUGUUCCAAAAAGAAAUCACAGAAAUGCAUUUCCACCAGGGGAAUGCUAGGGGAAUUAUUUUUGGCCACUGAAAUAGUUGUGUGUAGCUGGCACCUUGAAGGUCAAGAUAUUGGUCAGUCUAGCUGGACAUAGUGUUUAUGUUGUAUUGCUGACUCCAUGUCCUCUAAAUGGGUGUUCAAAAUAAAUGCCUUUCUUUAUGCA